AGAGCGAACGCUGGCGGCAGGCUUAACACAUGCAAGUCGAGCGGGCGUAGCAAUACGUCAGCGGCAGACGGGUGAGUAACGCGUGGGAACGUACCUUUUGGUUCGGAACAACUGAGGGAAACUUCAGCUAAUACCGAAUAAGCCCUUACGGGGAAAGAUUUAUCGCCGAAAGAUCGGCCCGCGUCUGAUUAGCUUGUUGGUGAGGUAAUGGCUCACCAAGGCGACGAUCAGUAGCUGGUCUGAGAGGAUGAUCAGCCACAUUGGGACUGAGACACGGCCCAAACUCCUACGGGAGGCAGCAGUGGGGAAUAUUGGACAAUGGGCGCAAGCCUGAUCCAGCCAUGCCGCGUGAGUGAUGAAGGCCCUAGGGUUGUAAAGCUCUUUUGUGCGGGAAGAUAAUGACGGUACCGCAAGAAUAAGCCCCGGCUAACUUCGUGCCAGCAGCCGC
rnacentral:rRNA from 1 species